rnacentral:lncRNA from 1 species
UUAUCCUACAGUGUUAGUUAUCCAACAGUGUUAGUUAUCCAACAGUGUUAGUUAUCCUACAGUGUUAGUUAUCCUACAGUGUUAGUUAUCCAACAGCAUUAGAGUUAUCCAACAGUGUUAGUUAUCCUACAGUGUUAGUUAUCCUACAGUGUUAGUUAUCCAACCGUGUUAGUUAUCCUACAGUGUUAGUUAUCCUACAGUGUUAGUUAUCCAACAGCAUUAGAGUUAUCCUACAGUGUUAGUUAUCCUACAGUGUUAGUUAUCCAACAGUGUUAGUUAUCCUACAGUGCUAGUUAUCCUACAGUGUUAGUUAUCCUACAGUGUUAGUUAUCCAACAGUGUUAGUUAUCCAACAGUGUUAGUUAUCCUACAGUGCUAGUUAUCCUACAGUGUUAGUUAUCCUACAGUGUUAGUUAUCCAACAGUGUUAGUUAUCCUACAGUGCUAGUUAUCCUACAGUGUUAGUUAUCCUACAGUGUUAGUUAUCCAACAGUGUUAGUUAUCCUACAGUGCUAGUUAUCCUACAGUGUUAGUUAUCCUACAGUUUUAGUUAUCCUACAGUGUUAGAGUUAUCCUGCAGUGUUAGUUAUCCUGCAGUGUUAGUUAUCCAACAGCGUUAGUUAUCCAACAGCGUUAGUUAUCCUACAGUGCUAGUUAUCCUACAGUGUUAGUUAUCCAACAGUGUUAGUUAUCCAACAGUGUUAGUUAUCCUUCAGUGUUAGUUAUCCUACAGUGUUAGUUAUCCUACAGUGUUAGUUAUCCUACAGUGUUAGUUAUCCUACAGUGUUAGUUAUCCAACAGCAUUAGAGUUAUCCAACAGUGUUAGUUAUCCAACAGUGUUAGUUAUCCAACAGUGUUAGUUAUCCAACAGUGUUAGUUAUCCUACAGUGUUAGUUAUCCUACAGUGUUAGUUAUCCAACAGUGUUAGUUAUCCUACAGUGCUAGUUAUCCUACAGUGUUAGUUAUCCUACAGUGUUAGUUAUCCUACAGUGUUAGUUAUCCAACAGUGAUAGUUAUCCAACAGUGUUAGUUAUCCUUCAGUGUUAGUUAUCCUACAGUGUUAGUUAUCCUACAGUGUUAGUUAUCCAACAGCAUUAGAGUUAUCCAACAGUGUUAGUUAUCCAACAGUGUUAGUUAUCCAACAGUGUUAGUUAUCCUACAGUGUUAGUUAUCCUACAGUGUUAGUUAUCCUACAGUGUUAGUUCCUGUUAAGGCAAGGGCUGAUUUCAAGGUUUUACUGCUAACCUAAAAAGCAUUACAUGGGCUUGCUCCUACCUAUCUUUCCGAUUUGGUCGUGCCGUACAUACCUACACGUACGCUACGGUCACAAGACGCAGGCCUCCUAAUUGUCCCUAGAAUUUCUAAGCAAACGGCUGGAGGUAGGGCUUUCUCCUAUAGAGCUCAAUUUUUAUGGAAUGGUCUGCCUACCAAUGUGAGAGACGCAGACUCAGUCUCAACUUUUAAGUCUUUACUGAAGACUUAUCUCUUCAGUAGGUCCUAUGAUUAAGUAUAGUCUUGCCCAGGAGUGUGAAGGUGAACGGAAAGGCUGGAGCAACGAACUGCCCUUGCUGUCUCUGCCUUGCCGGUUCCCCUCUUUCCACUGGGAAUCUCUCUCUGCCUCUGACCCUUUUACAGGGGCUGAGUCACUGGCUUACUGGUGUUCUUCCAUGCCGUCCAUGGGAGGGGUGCGUCACUUGAGUGGGUUGAGUCACUGACGUGGUCUUCCUGUCUGGGUUGGCGCCCCCCCUUGGGUUGUGCCAUGACGGAGAUCGUUGUGGGCUAUACUCGGCCUUGUCUUAGGACGGUAAGUUGGUGGUUGGAGACAUCCCUCUAGUGGUGUGGGGGCCGUGCUUUGGCAAAGUGGGUUGGGCUAUAUCCUGCCUGUUUGGUCCUGUCCGGGGGGUAUCAUCGGAUGGGGCCACAGUGUCUUCUGAUCCCUCCUGUCUCAGCCUCCAGUAUUUAUGCUGCAGUAGUUUAUGUGUCAGGG